rnacentral:rRNA from 1 species
GAUGAACGCUGGCGGCGUGCCUAAUACAUGCAAGUCGAGCGAACGGACGAGAAGCUUGCUUCUCUGAUGUUAGCGGCGGACGGGUGAGUAACACGUGGAUAACCUACCUAUAAGACUGGGAUAACUUCGGGAAACCGGAGCUAAUACCGGAUAAUAUUUUGAACCGCAUGGUUCAAAAGUGAAAGACGGUCUUGCUGUCACUUAUAGAUGGAUCCGCGCUGCAUUAGCUAGUUGGUAAGGUAACGGCUUACCAAGGCAACGAUGCAUAGCCGACCUGAGAGGGUGAUCGGCCACACUGGAACUGAGACACGGUCCAGACUCCUACGGGAGGCAGCAGUAGGGAAUCUUCCGCAAUGGGCGAAAGCCUGACGGAGCAACGCCGCGUGAGUGAUGAAGGUCUUCGGAUCGUAAAACUCUGUUAUUAGGGAAGAACAUAUGUGUAAGUAACUGUGCACAUCUUGACGGUACCUAAUCAGAAAGCCACGGCUAACUACGUGCCAGCAGCCGCGGUAAUACGUAGGUGGCAAGCGUUAUCCGGAAUUAUUGGGCGUAAAGCGCGCGUAGGCGGUUUUUUAAGUCUGAUGUGAAAGCCCACGGCUCAACCGUGGAGGGUCAUUGGAAACUGGAAAACUUGAGUGCAGAAGAGGAAAGUGGAAUUCCAUGUGUAGCGGUGAAAUGCGCAGAGAUAUGGAGGAACACCAGUGGCGAAGGCGACUUUCUGGUCUGUAACUGACGCUGAUGUGCGAAAGCGUGGGGAUCAAACAGGAUUAGAUACCCUGGUAGUCCACGCCGUAAACGAUGAGUGCUAAGUGUUAGGGGGUUUCCGCCCCUUAGUGCUGCAGCUAACGCAUUAAGCACUCCGCCUGGGGAGUACGACCGCAAGGUUGAAACUCAAAGGAAUUGACGGGGACCCGCACAAGCGGUGGAGCAUGUGGUUUAAUUCGAAGCAACGCGAAGAACCUUACCAAAUCUUGACAUCCUUUGACAACUCUAGAGAUAGAGCUUUCCCCUUCGGGGGACAAAGUGACAGGUGGUGCAUGGUUGUCGCCAGCUCGUGUCGUGAGAUGUUGGGUUAAGUCCCGCAACGAGCGCAACCCUUAAGCUUAGUUGCCAUCAUUAAGUUGGGCACUCUAAGUUGACUGCCGGUGACAAACCGGAGGAAGGUGGGGAUGACGUCAAAUCAUCAUGCCCCUUAUGAUUUGGGCUACACACGUGCUACAAUGGACAAUACAAAGGGCAGCGAAACCGCGAGGUCAAGCAAAUCCCAUAAAGUUGUUCUCAGUUCGGAUUGUAGUCUGCAACUCGACUACAUGAAGCUGGAAUCGCUAGUAAUCGUAGAUCAGCAUGCUACGGUGAAUACGUUCCCGGGUCU